UUCGUAGGUGGCUCGCUAAGUCAGACGUGAAAUCCCUCAGCUUAACUGGGGAACUGCGUCUGAGACUGGCAAGCUCGAGUGCAGGAGAGGAACGCGGAAUUCCAGGUGUAGCGGUGAAAUGCGUAGAUAUCUGGAGGAACACCGGUGGCGAAGGCGGCGUUCUGGACUGCAACUGACACUGAUGAACGAAAGCCAGGGGAGCAAACG
rnacentral:rRNA from 1 species